GAAACUAAGCAUAUCAAUAAGCGGAGGAAAAGAAACCAACAGGGAUUGCCCUAGUAACGGCGAGUGAAGCGGCAACAGCUCAAAUUUGAAAUCUGGCCUUACGGUCCGAAUUGUAAUUUGUAGAGGAUGCUUUGGGCGCGGUGCCUUCCGAGUUCCUUGGAACAGGACGCCUUAGAGGGUGAGAGCCCCGUACGGUUGGACACCAAGCCUAUGUAAAGCUCCUUCGACGAGUCGAGUAGUUUGGGAAUGCUGCUCUAAAUGGGAGGUAAAUUUCUUCUAAAGCUAAAUACCGGCCAGAGACCGAUAGCGCACAAGUAGAGUGAUCGAAAGAUGAAAAGUACUUUGAAAAGAGGGUUAAAUAGCACGUGAAAUUGUUGAAAGGGAAGCAUUUAUGACCAGACCUUUGCUAGGCGGAUCAUCCGGUGUUCUCCACCGGUGCACUUCGUCUAGCUUAGGCCAGCAUCGAUUUCUGUAGGGGGAUAAAGGUCUAGGGAACGUAGCUCUCUCCGGAGAGUGUUAUAGCCCUAGGCGCAAUACCUUUACGGGGAUCGAGGUUCGCGCUUCGGCAAGGAUGCUGGCAUAAUGGUCAUCAAUGACCCGUCUUGAAACACGGACCAAGGAGUCGAACAUUUAUGCGAGUGUUUGGGUGUUAAACCCUCACGCGUAAUGAAAGUGAACGGAGGUGAGAGCCCUUAAGGGUGCAUCAUCGACCGAUCCUGAUGUCUUCGGAUGGAUUUGAGUAAGAGCAUAACUGUUCGGACCCGAAAGAUGGUGAACUAUGCGUGGAUAGGGUGAAGCCAGAGGAAACUCUGGUGGAGGCUCGCAGCGGUUCUGACGUGCAAAUCGAUCGUCAAAUCUGCGCAUGGGGGCGAAAGACUUAUCGAACCAUCUAGUAGCUGGUUACCGCCGAAUUCUCCC
rnacentral:rRNA from 2 species